rnacentral:lncRNA from 10 species
GCAGUACCUUGAAGGCUCUAAGCACUGCCAGGGGGGCGUCCCGUGUGAGUCGGUGAACGAGCGAGGGCCAGGCCUGAUGAGCCAAGGGAAGCAGCUGGUUUUUGUGGGACUGAAGAACAACCACACACAGAUCCAGCACAUCCAAGACCUGAAAGAGACACGAUUUCAGCAGAUGGUAUAGGCUUGAAAACAGAUACCUGGGAUCAAGUCACCAUUUUCAAAGAAUAACAUUUAGAAACGUAUUAAUUGGAUAAUUGUUUUCUGAGUGCUGACUACAUGCCAAGCACUAGCUAGGUACUGAGGGGACACACAGAGACAAAAUACACGUUUCCUUGCCUUUGCAGGGUUCAUGGUCAGCUGGGGAAAGACCUUAAUUAGAUAACGCCUAAAUGAAGAGAUGAUUAGCAAUUGGGACAAGAAGGGAAGUCAAAGGUGAAAUGCAAAGAAACGAGGGGAAGGAUCUAAACCACAGACUGUUGGGAAGGCUUCGCUGGGGAAGGAGCUUCUAAAAGAAGACACAAAGGAUGAGUAGGAGUUAGUUCUGUGAAGAUUCAUGCAACUGGAAACCGUGAUGAGGAAGACUCAGAGGUGGAACAGAGCUUUCAUAAGAAGUGAAAGAAGGGCAGCGUGGAGCAUUACAGAGAAGAGGUCAUUCUGGCUGCUGAGUGGAGAAGAGACUUGAAGGGUGACAGAGAAACAAAGAGGCCCUUUAGGAUCCACAUGAGAGGAGCAAAGUGAUGUGGCCGCGUGAUGGCGGCAGAGGAGAGAAGUGAAAGGACUGGAUAUCUGUUUUGGAGAUGACGUGGCUUAAAUUGCUGAAGGACUGGAUACUGGGGAGGGGAAGUGAGGGUUUGAAAAGAGCUGCUUCGUUUCAGGGGUAGCAACUGAAGAGAUGCAGAUGCCACUGAAUGAGAUGGGGAGCACGCGGGAGGAGAAAGUUGGGCGGCUAGGGGAGACCAAGUUCUGUUACCACUACAUGGAGAGGCCCAGCAGGCAGCUGAGGUACAGGUUAAUCUCACCAGAAAGGGUUAGGCUACCCUACAUAUAAACUGAU